UUGUUGUUGCCCCCCCCUCCAAACUCCCUUCUCUGGGUGAGAGAUCCCUCUCCUUUCCUUUCUAUUUGUUGGGUUUCGCUUUGUGCCAUCAUUUGAUUGGUUGAAUGACACAGGAAGAAAGUGAGAACAGAGUGCUUCUCUCCUAAGUUAUACUUGUAUGUCUAAAUUUUUCUCAAAUGACAUGACACUCAGUGUCCUGCAUGAUAUUUUCACACAAACAUGUUAAUUGUUUUGCAUAUAUUGGUGAAGUUUAAUUCAGCUUUAGAAAUGAGGGCAUGCAAUACAUGUUGUGUGCAUUUGAUUUCAGAAUGUUGUUAACCCGCCUGCAUGACAAUCGUGUGGUAGCUACAUGUAUGUUAGAUUGCUGGACAUCUGAAGGAGCUUGAAUAGGUAUUUCACCAUCUUAUGCAACACCGUUGCGUAUCUACACCUAUAUCGUGUUUAUUAACUAAACGUUCUUCCAUGUGAAACUCACUAGAUCUUUGGUAUGUGUUUUCCUCCAAUCCUUGCUUAACUGUGUGAUGUUGAAUCAUUUAAAAUGGAUGUUGAAUCCUACAUGCUAUGCUAUGUCGUGCUGAUUUAUAAUUUGAUUUCCUAUUAUUGUUGGCAAGCUCUUGCUCGCAGUUCACAUUAUAUGAUUGGUAUUUUGUGUAUGACAUGGUGCGGAUUUCCUAGCUUCUUCAAGAAUGUCCGCUUGGUUUCUCCUAAUUUUCUAAAUUCUUUCUUCGGUGACUUAUGUAAUUCAUGAAUGUGUGUCACUCGUCAUGUUAGUUUAUGCCUUUUGCUUGGGUUUUGGAUCUAUUAAUUGGACUAAUUAGUAGAUUUAACUUACUUAAUAUUUAGAUAGCAUCUUAGGACUGUUGUAUGUCUGUGAAACUGUGAGUAGAAACACUUGAAAUUUGAUGUUUUGCUGGCUACCUAUUAUUGCAGUUAUAGAAGGUCAUGAAUGACCUGUGAAACACUUGGGCACACCAAAGACAAGACAAGCAGCAGCGGCGACGCCAGACCAGUCACCCCCGCACCUCCAGUUUUCCUUCAGGGUAACUAACCACUGGCAAAUGCUUCUGUCAUUUCUUUCGCUUGUGAUUCCUCUCGUUGGGACCAUGGUUGUUGCCUUUCCCUCUGCCUGUAAAAUCGUACUGCAGAGGCAUCUAGCACCCACCAUGAACAUCGGUGUGAGGUCUUCGAUCGAGGCUCCCCUGGACCAGCAUCGUCUGCUAGCGCACGCGUGCCUGCUUAUGUGUAGAUUGACUGAUCUAGCCUCCACCUAAAUUUCCUGCAAUUACGAUUCAGCAAGAGAUCAUAGGUAGUCUAAUUUGUUUUCCCAAAACCUGAGUUCAACGAUGGAGUUAGAUACAGAUUAUCCAUAUGCAUAUUUUGUCCAUAUUACUGUCCUGAACAGAUAGCCUGAUUGUUCCACUUAAUUUAGGUCACUAAUUACAUGCAAAUAGUCCUACACUAUACGUCUAAUUUUUCUGCAAUUGCUUCAUUAGAUAGCCUGAGUGUUCAAAAAAUUGUUCUAUACAUUGUCUUUGUCUUCCCUGAUUUUAAUUAACCCUGUUGAGCUUCUUUAUGACGUAGGCUGAGCCUUGUGUUGGGAGGAUCCCAGGCCGAAUGAUGCUUGAUCUCCUUUUGGAGGAGCUUAUGUUUACCGCAGCCCGUUAUAGUCGAAGGGGCUGUUUAAGUAACACCAUGAGUUCAUUUACUGGUGUUCGAUCCUCCGAUGAGGCAGCGGCGGAAGACUUGCCUUUUUGAAGCCAUCAGGACCAUCGAAAAUGCCACAAGCACAGUGGUCAAAGAUCUGAGUUAUGGACGCUUAAACAAGAUGGAACAAGACUUUGGUUAUCUAAGGCUCAGGCUCAAUGAAGCAUUUGACACAAUAGACAUGGUUGCCAAAGGAUAUUUGUAUGCUAUAAGAUACAUGCCAGCUUUCUUACACCAGCUUCAUAAUGUGAUAGCACAUGCUUUUCCUCCUACUCGUGUUGUGGACAAGUCAACAAAUGAGGCUCUCAAGAAUAUUGAGGUGGUAGCUCAUAAUCUCAGGACAGAAGCAAUAGUCUUGAGAACAAGCUAUAUGUGAGAAGGCAGAGUCAAGCGCGUGAACAUGAGGUAUUUGCACCUGUGGCUUUCUUUGGUCGUGACGUUUAAGAUAAGCGCGUGAACAUGCGUAGCUUGAUUUCGGACUAAAUCCUUUGUAGUUGCGUGGACCAACUUCUAUAUACUAAAUAUGUAUAGCUUGCUUUUGAACUGAACCUGUUGUUUCCUGAACCAAUUGCUAUGUAUUGAAUGUGUAUAUAUCGA